UGCGGAAUUGCUGGGUCAUAUGGUAGCUCUGUUGUUUAAGGAACCACCGUAUUGUUUUCUACAAUGGCUGUACCAUUUUGGAUUCCCACCAGCAGU
rnacentral:pre_miRNA from 1 species